rnacentral:rRNA from 1 species
AUUGAACGCUGGCGGCAUGCCUUACACAUGCAAGUCGAACGGUAACGAGCCUUCGGGUGCCGACGAGUGGCGAACGGGUGAGUAAUACAUCGGAACGUGCCCGAUCGUGGGGGAUAACGAGGCGAAAGCUUUGCUAAUACCGCAUACGAUCUACGGAUGAAAGCAGGGGACCGCAAGGCCUUGCGCGGACGGAGCGGCCGAUGGCAGAUUAGGUAGUUGGUGGGAUAAAAGCUUACCAAGCCGACGAUCUGUAGCUGGUCUGAGAGGAUGAUCAGCCACACUGGGACUGAGACACGGCCCAGACUCCUACGGGAGGCAGCAGUGGGGAAUUUUGGACAAUGGGCGCAAGCCUGAUCCAGCCAUGCCGCGUGAAGGAUGAAGGCCUUCGGGUUGUAAACUGCUUUUGUACGGAACGAAAAGCCUUCUUUUAAUACAGGAGGGUCAUGACGGUACCGUAAGAAUAAGCACCGGCUAACUACGUG